rnacentral:rRNA from 1 species
GAUGAACGCUGGCGGCGUGCCUAACACAUGCAAGUCGAACGGAGUCGUUUUGGAAAUCUCUUCGGAGAUGGAAUUCUCGACUUAGUGGCGGACGGGUGAGUAACGCGUGAGCAAUCUGCCUUUAAGAGGGGGAUAACAGUCGGAAACGGCUGCUAAUACCGCAUAAAGCAUUAAAUUCGCAUGUUUUUGAUGCCAAAGGAGCAAUCCGCUUUUAGAUGAGCUCGCGUCUGAUUAGCUAGUUGGCGGGGUAACGGCCCACCAAGGCGACGAUCAGUAGCCGGACUGAGAGGUUGAACGGCCACAUUGGGACUGAGACACGGCCCAGACUCCUACGGGAGGCAGCAGUGGGGAAUAUUGCGCAAUGGGGGAAACCCUGACGCAGCAACGCCGCGUGAUUGAAGAAGGCCUUCGGGUUGUAAAGAUCUUUAAUCAGGGACGAAACAAAUGACGGUACCUGAAGAAUAAGCCCCGGCUAACUACGUG